rnacentral:snRNA from 1 species
AUACUCGCUUCGGCGGUACAUAUACUAAAAAACUGGAACGAUACAGAGAAAAUUAGCAUGGUCCCUGCGCAAGGAACAUGCAAAAUCAUGGAAAAAAGACUACUAAU